rnacentral:miRNA from 10 species
AGUGUUCACUGCGGAUGCUUUAGU